rnacentral:lncRNA from 1 species
CUCUCGAUUCUUUAUCGAUUUUUCCGGCAAUGGGUAAGGUUGUUCUUGUCUCUCCGUCCUCUUCUUCCUCCGAGAGCGAAGCGUCAUUAGUUCGCCGAAACUCUCGGUUAACCGGGAAUCCAAGUGACGAAGCUCAGUCUAGUCGAUCUAACCGGAUCGAGAUCCCGACGUUGCUUGAUGAGCCCGAUCGGGAAGGUUCCGGUGGACAUCUCGCUGCUCCUGAAGAUCCGGCGGAUUUCUUGGCUCAGUUCGACCCGCUCAUCGACCUGGAGGAUGCUUAUAACACGCAGCCACAGUAUACAGAGGCCGAAGUUAAUGCGAAUUACUUCAUGAGGAUCAUGUCGAAUUUGACGUCGACUCAGUGGUUAGCUGGAACACCGAGAUCGCCGCGAAAAAGACCCUUUCAACAACUGAGUCAGUCGCGGAAGUAUUUGCCUUGUGUGGCUCCGGAGAUCGCCCGCUCACUUACAUGAUUCCCGGAGAAAAUGAGCGUCCGUGGAAUCCCCCUCGAGGGUACGUCUGCAUGUAUGAAGCCUACUUCAGACAAUGUCACCUCUGGUUUCCCAUUCCGUCUCUGAUCAUCUCCUUUCUGAAUCGUCGUCGUAUGGCGUUCUCCCAGCUUACUCCGGCGGCGAUCUGUAGUUUUGUUGCCGCUCUGACCUUCGGUGCUGAAGAAGGUUACCUGGUAAACGUCCGUUGUUUCGAAGAAAUGACGACGUUGAAAGCUAUAAGGUCGCCCGGCUAUUGGCUGGUGAACAACCGCCCAAAGCAUAACUUUCUUCCCGGGGAGGAAAAGGAUGUGGACGGAGUUUCCUGGUAGAUUUCUUUUAAAUAGAUAGGGUAAAGAUAUGUCGAUCCCAACUAGAUUCUCAUAGCUUUUUCUUUUGUUGCAGAUCGAUACAGGCCUAGUCCGGAUUUUCAUUGCUGAUGGGGACUUCAUUCCCAGGACGCCUUCUCUAUUCUACCUUGGGCCGGCUGCUACUGAUGCUGAUACCACGGAGUGUCAGAACUUCGUCAACCAAGGAUUGCUUUGGUUUGUGUUUUCGAUAUCGGGAUGUUUUUUAAGUAUUUCGUUGCUUGGAUUUCUCAGGUCGGAUUUCUGCAUCAGGAUCAAUGCCGCGAGCUGCAGUACUUUCGAACCAAGAAACGAAGAGUGGACUUUUGUCUCGAGGAGCUCGAAACUCUGAUUGCUAAGCUGAAGAAGAAAAGAAGAAGGGUCGUCACUCGUCUGGAUGAGGUCGAACAAACGAUUAGGGCAUUGGACAUUCGUUCGGAGGAUUGGGAGAAAGCUGGUCUGCAACUAGUGUGGCCCAUGCAAGAUCGCCUUCUUCUGGAUAAUCGCAGUUUCUGACAGGGCGAUCUAACGUUCGAAUAAACGCCCUUGUGAUAGCUGGCGACCUUGUUUAACUCUAAUUUAUUCUGGAAUAAAUGUCUUUGUAAUAGCUCCCGAUCUCGUUUGGUCGUUGAUUAAUACAAUGCGAUUUUAUUAAAUUGGCUUAUUUCCUCCGCGACCACUGAGGUCGGCUUUUGAGUUCUUUUCGAACGCAAUUUUUUCUAAUUGGAUUAGAUGUUAGGUGCGAGACUGAGCCCGGCUUUUGAGAGAAUAUUCAGCGUGUGCUGGACGCGAGACGUCUCUCGGCUUAUGUCCAGCAGGCUUAUGUAUGAUUUAAAGAGGGAGUUCUGGGCUCUGUUUCCAAAAUAAGUGAGGCGGGCUCAGCAUAUUAUUUGGGGGGCGAGAUGCUGGGCUCGGCUUACUCCCCGUAGAGCAUCUGUUCGGCAGAUCGCGAAACGGUUCGGCUUAUGUUUCUGUCCGAACCAGAGCUUAUGUUUCUGGACGCAAAGGCGAGCUCGAGUGUGGGAAGAAAAGGCGAACUCGAGUGUGGGAAGCAAAGGCGAACUCGAGUGUGGGAAGCAUAGGCGAGCUCGAGUGUGGGAAGCAAAGGCGAUCUCGAGUGUGGGAAGCAAAGGCGAUCUCGAGUGUGGGAAGCAAGGAACAAGUAUGAAAGUGGCUAAGAGUAAGAAGUGAAGAAGUGUUGUGAAACCUCUAAUUGUUCUAGAGGGUUUCACUUUCCUUUUAUUGUUGCGUUGUCGUUUUGAUUAAACUCGAGUGUAUUUAAUGGAGCCCAACCUUUAGGGUUUUCCUUAUCUUAUGAAAAAUCACAUUAAUCAUCUUAACCUAAGUUUCUUCUGCCUCUCAUCUCUUCUCUUCUCACCUAACUCUAUUUCUGUUCGUUGUUAGGCUUCGUGCUUAACAUUUGGUGCUUUCAUUGAGAGGAAAAAGAAACGAUGGCUCCUCAAACCAGCGGCGCCGUCGCAGACCAAACCUCAACCUCAGAACUCGAGUCACAAACCCCAGAUCUGUACCUCCAAACGACCGCUCUUGAGAUUCGAAUGGAGAAGAUAGACAAGGACAUGGAAUGGUUUAAGGCAGCUAUGGGAAACCUCUUGCGUGGCCAGGUUUUCGGUGAAGACCGUGAACGGACUCCGGCUUGCUUUGCAAGUCCGAUUUCAGUUUCAGGUGGCAUACAACAAACUCCUGGUACACCUGAUACUGUUGCAGACAAGAACCCUCGUCCAGGGUCUCUUCCGUUGGCCAAUCCGGAGCCUAACCAAAGACCUGCUGAAGGGUUACUACCCACGCCACCAGCGCAGCAACGCUUGGAGUUCGUGGGUCUGACUACUGAGACACAGUUCAAACCCAUAGAUCUCCCGGAAUAUGAAGGUACGAAUCCUGAUGAAACAUAGAGUCCCAGAAACACAGAAACUUGAGCAAGCUAUCACUGCUUUGACUGGUACUGCCAUUAACUGGUGGCAAAUAGCUCAGUAUCCUGAAAAGAUCUCAACUUGGAAGGAUUUUCGUGACAAGUUCAAGGUCCGUUUCAAACCAGCCCGAGGAGCGGCCACCAUUGAUCAACUGUUCACAAUUUUCCAGAGAGGAAGUGUUGAAGAGUACCGUAAUCGAUUUGAAGAGAUAGCAGUGGAGCUUCCUCAUGUGACAGACGAUGUGCUUGAGUCAGCUUUUCUGAAUGGGUUGAAUGGGACCCUUUUUUUUUUUUUUUUUUUUUUUUGGUAAGAAUAAUGACGAAUUGAAUUACGAUGAAAACGAAAAUUUUACUUAUCUCAGCGCAAGAGUUUGUGGUACGAUCGAGUUUUAAGGGUCGAGUUCGUUGAUACAAUUAUCGAAAAGACGAUGCUCGAUGUCUGCCCUAGUUCUUGUCAGUUCGUUCGUCCGACGUGACGUUGUGCUAAGCGGCAUCGUUUUUUUCGUUUGUGGGAUGGCGUUGGGACGAGAUCUCCGAUGUUUUGAGUGACGACGUGAAUUUCGCUGUUGUGGAGAGUUUGGCUUUUCUUCAGUUCGCCUAGCUCCAGCAGGUGCUGUUACUUUUAGUUUGCAUGAUGGCGCGAAUGGCGUUUGGUUGGUUGCGUCGUUGUGUACGUCCAGAGCCGUCUGGUUCUUUCGUCUAGCUUCUCGUAGCAUGCCGACAUGAUGUGUCUUGUUAGUCGUUUUGGUGUGAUCAUUGCUUUGCGGUAUUCGCGAAACAUUGGCGUCAGUGUCGGAUCGUCGAUAUCCCUUAUGGCGCGUCCGACCUCAUGGACCCUGGAGAUGGCUCAAUUGAUUUGGGAGUGAAGGUCUUGCACUUGGUAUCUCGUUUAUAGCGGUCUGAGGAAUUGCCGAGCUGAGUUGGUUUACGACAACCUGAAUUUCUUCGCGUAGGUCGGGUAUGCGAAUAACGACUCAUGUGCAUGCGGCUGAUUUUAUCUUGUAUGUGCUCUUGGGCGGCGGUUAAUAAUCGCGUUGCGCUGCUUUAAAUGAUCGAUGAUGGUGUUGAGUAGUUCUUCGCCGCGUUGGUUGCUUUUAGCCGUAUCGUCCAGGCGAUGAAAUCGGCUAGGUGAAGUUUCUCCUUGGUCUUUUUGCAACGCUAGGUAUUCAGGCGUGGGCGAUAACGAGGUCGGUACAAUAGAUGACGCCGAGUAUUAUUUUUCCUUUAUUUGAAUCGUCUUCCCGUGCGCUGACGUUAUCGUCCGAGCUGCCGAGCUGGUAGUGUCAUCGUCGAGGUUUUCUAAGUGACGUUCGCCUGAUGACUUCUCCUCUUGGUCUUGGUUAGGCGCGAGUGAUAACGAGGUCGGUAUGUUUAAUGAGGUUAUGGGAUGUUCCUCUUUGAUCGGCGGCACUUCCUCGUUGGUCAGUGUUAUUGUCCUGACUGCCGGGCUGGAAGUGUCAUCGCCUAGGAUGAUGGGGUCGAUAGUUCCUUGAAGUCCUUUUCUUGUCGGAGAACAUGCUGCGAUAUCGAAUGAAGAGGUCGAGUGACUGGCUCUCCCGGGGAUCGACGUUGUCGUUUUACUUCCAGAGCCUGACGAGUCGGUAUCGAAUGCUCCAUGUAGUCUGUUUGUUGUCACUUUGCUUCGUCGCGGGGUCGUGUUAACGUAAACCAGAAAUGAAUAAACAGAGUUUGAAAUCAAUAGAACAGAGAGAUGAAAACAAAGUACUCCGAUUAACACACUUGAUACAACGUUCGUUAAGAGACGCGAUAUCAACUUCUCACCUACAAGAGACUCGACGAGAGCUCCGGUAAAACGAUGAGGGAAAUCUAGAAGUCUCUAGAGAGAGAUGACAACCAGAUUAUUCGAUAAUGAAAGCAUGAGCAUAACAUGUUGCUCUUAUACAAAAAGGUAAAGAAAGUAAACGUUAACCACGUUAAUAACGAUCGCCGUUAACGUCCAUUUGCAUUGCCAGCUCGCCAGCUCAAAACACGUGCUUUGCUUAACAUCCCUGAGUUCACAUUGCCAUCUCGCCAGCUCACAACACACACGUGCUUUGCUUAACAUCCCUGGCCAAACAACUUAGCAACAAUUGCUCCAUCCUCUUCCGUUGCUCCUGUGCCAAGGCUCAUAACUAUAUACACACAACAUAAUUGGCAAAUGUAAGCAUUUGACAGCUUCAGAGAGAAACAGAAAUCACAAACAACAUAAUUGGCAAAUGUAAGCAUUUGACAACACGUGCUUUGCUUAACAUCCCUGACUUCACAUUUCCAGCUCGCCAGCUCACAACACGUGCUUUGCUUAACAUCCCUGACUUCACAUUGCCAGCUCGCCAGCUCACAACACACGUGCUUUGCUUAACAUCCCUGACUUCACAUGUGUGAGCUUGACCUUCUAGAACGCUAUAUCAGGUCGUAGUUUUGAGAGAUAUCUUCGAGCUAUCCCCCUACCUGGCGCGCCAACUGUUGAUGCACGAAUCACACAAGUACGAAAAUGGGAUCUCUAGGGAAGGAAGAAAAAUCUUUCUAUUAAUACGAGCCCGCGACUUAGGCGAAUUGGACGGAUUACAAAGGAUGAUUUCUUCAACGAGCACAGAUGGAGUAAGAACGAGCUGAUUGUAGAUAAAAGGCGAACUUGAGGCCGGAAGACGAUCUUGAUGUCCGAGGAAGAAUAGAGUUUAUUCGUUUUAUAGCUGAACCUUGUAAAAGGCUGCCUACGUACCCUUAGAAAGGGAUCAAGCCACACGUAGUUCAUAUCGCGAUAAACGAACUAGGCCAUUACUGGAGGAAGGUCGUAUGUCGAGUUAGGCAGUUUUAGGGAUGAUCCGGCGGAUAAGUGACGAGUUGAAUGGCUUCUCGAGACGUGCGAGUAGGUUAGUUACUUUGGGCGGGCAAGUCGGCGAGACACUUCGGACGGACGAGUAAACGAGCUACUCAAGAUAGAUGGGCAAACGAGGUACUUCGGACGGGUGAGCUGACGAGCUGCUUGAGACGGGCGAGAUGAUAAGCUACUUGAGACGGGCCGGCUGGCGAGAUACUUCGGACGGGUGAGCUGACGAGCUGCUUGAGACGGGUGAGCUGAUGAGCUACUUGAGACGGACCGGCUGACGAGAUGCUUCAGACGGGUGAGCUGACGAGCUGCUUUAGACGGGCCGGCUGGCGAGAUACUUCAGACGGGUGAGCUGACGAGCUGCUCUUUGUCUCUAAGUGUCCUCGCGGCCUCCCCCUUUGACAAGACAUGCUAUUCCGUAUUUAUAGCCUUCUGCGCGUGUAGGGCAUUCAUCGAGGGAUUUGACGAAACUACCCUUCGCCUUAAUACUCCUUGGUUUGGAACUUAUUUUGGGCUUUUGACCCCUAACAGGAGGAGCUGUACUGGGAAAGGAAAACACUGAAGAAACGAGGUAACACACCACUUGAAGCCAUGGAGGACGUAGGAACUGUGAGAGAAAGAAAUAGAGAAGAGGAAUUAGGAAAAAAACAUGAAAGCGACAGAGUUUAAGAGACGUUGAGAACAAAGAAGAGAGAUUCUUACCAAGAAGGGAGCUGUUCUGGUCCCAAAGGGUUCUCUUAGGAAGACCAAAGUCAAGAGUUUGAAUUCUUAACAGGAAUAAAGUGAGAGAGUGCAAUGUAAGCAGAACACAAUCAAUGUGUGUUUCUUACAUACGAACCUGUCUUCUCUGUCCUUUCUAUUCGUAUACCAAAUGAGAAAGAAGCAUUGCUUUUUGUCUUUUAUUUUUCUUAGAAAGCCCAAGAGUUUUGGACUAUUGGUAGCUUUGGAGUUAAAGUCACAUGUAAAAACAGAGUCUCAAGCUCAUUUUAUUAAGUAACUCUAAAUUUUCAAUCUUACUAGUUAAUAUUCUCUUGCUUGCAAAUAUCAAUUUGAAUUGAUGACCGAUUAGUAAGUAGCUUCUUGAUUGUUCAACAUAACCAUGUGAAUGUCACUAUUAGGGGAAGCAGUUAAACUAGAGUGAGUGAGCCAAAGACUUGAGAGAGAUGGUGUUGUUUUGUUUCAUCCUUAGUUUAUUCACCAUUUAAUUUCCAAAACAACCCCACAAUUUGUACUAUAGUACACUCAAUGAUAGCAAAGAAUGAGAAGAUGAGUCAAUGACACCAAAAUAUGCUUUCUUUAGACAUUGUGUGGCAAAAACAUUGAAAGCUAUAUCCAGUUCUGUACUCAAUCUCUCUGCACUGUUUUGUCCUAUCACUUUCUUUUAUAUCGAAUUGAGAAAAUAUCUGUUUAAUCCAGAUUAAAUAAAACCGAUGCUAUGCAAUUAGUAAGUUAACUAAUCAUUGAGUUUGUUUUUAAUUAUGAUCAGUGAGGUCGUUAGUUCAGGUUCAUUUAACAGUUUUUUGUUUUAACGAUUCUGUUUAUCUAAAUACUUAUGGGCAAAAGAAUGUGAUUAAGACUCUCUGUCGUCAUAGAAAUUAACUAGUCUCAAAUUACAUCUCUGUUCUAUCUAUACUCAUUGUUAACCGGGACAUACUGGAACUAAAACAGAUACCAAGAUUAGGCUCUUAAGGUACAAAAUACUGUUUGAUUGUGAGACAGAGGAGUUCAGAGAGGUUCUAAUGAUUAUAAAAACCUUGAGGUUGCGUACUCUUAUGGGAAUGCGUGGUUUACAACAUAGACGACCACUGAGGAUUGAAGAUCUCGAUCUACCUUGAAAUGCGCGUGGAAAAACCUCCUUACCUGUUUCAUUGCCAACAAAACAAAAAAUUUCGCCCAUGAAUGCAUAAAACAAAUGAAGUCAGAGAUGAAUGAAAAAAAAAAGAAAGAAGGGAGUGUGUUCUUGUUUCUAACUUGCCUCUUUAAAGGAAUGUUGGAUCAUGAAAUCUCUGAGUUUUGUUUCUUCUGAUGCAAACAAUACAAUAUGACUAGGCGGCUCUGACCAGUUUCUAGCUAACUCUGAUGCAAAACCUAAAGGGUUUACUAAGAACUGAUCCGACUCAUCAAGUUCUCCCUUCUCUGCACUGUUUCAGAAGAAGAAGAAGAAUCAUUAAGAAUCACAUAGAAGCAAGAGCUGUGACUCGGGGUGUGAUCCUUUACCUUGGAGUGCAGUCGAGAAAUUGCAUUGGAAUGUUACGAUGGAGAGUGGAAUAAUAGGGAGUAGAAUGGCACGGCAUGAGAAAGAGAAUGCUCUUUACUCUGCCUUUGUAUGCUUCAUCCGAUAAGUAAUUCAUCGCAUCCUCAGUUCCUCUCUGUUGGAAACAACAAAAUUCCUUUUUAGCACAAAUAGAGAUAGAGAGUAAACUCGGAAACUAGAUAGAGCCCUCAAGGUACUGGUGUUUUUACCUGGUGGAAUAAACUCAUGUAUAGUGCCAUUGGAAUAUUGGUAGCAAGCAAAAAAUAGACUGAAAGUCUUAGUUUGGGAGACCACUUGGUAUGGUUCUGUCGAGGGACUUGCUUCUUUUUAGUGACUGAUGAUGAUGAUGAUGAACCAGAUACUUCCAUUUGAGCAAAUGCAUACCCAGAGAAUAUCAAAGCUAUGGGUAGCACAGGCAGGACAAACCUAUCAUUCAUAAUCUAAGUAGACGACAUGGAAAACAUAAUAAAUGAUGAAAGGGUGUUCUUUGCAAAGUUUUUCGAUAUUGAAAGUGUAAGAAAACGGGGUAUGUUCUCCAAUCAUAUUACCUGAAUUCCUUAUGGCCGAGUAUGCUGUAUAUUGCUAAGACCCAUAGAAUAAGAGCUGAAAGCUUCUGAUUCUUAGACUUGAUAAUUCCAGCAAUGGAGAAUGGUGUGAAAGUGAAAAGCAUGACAAGAAAUCCCUGGGUGAAGUACCAGUGCCAUGGGUGAGUUCCGUAAUAGUCUCCACCAGACGAAAGGAAAUUAAACUUCAGAAAAUUGAGAGGCACAAUGACCCACGAGCCGUACAUCAGACGGUCCAACAAACAGGUGAAACCGAGGACCAAAGAUCUAACACCAGAAGCAAGUUAGCGCAAUGAAAUCUUCAAAAUCAAACAUUAAAACGAACAUUCAAGAGUAUAGCUUAGCUGCAGAGUUAAACUUACCCAAUCGGGAUCACCUCUAGAAUGAUGAAUUUGACCUUAUUAGGUGUCAAAAAUAGCUCGAGCAUCCCAACGUAUAACCAUAUGACUGCACUAGUUGGCCUUAUGGCACAUGCUAGGGCCGCUAUGACCAAACCCCACUUCCGAUUCACGGGAUAGUCUAUUGAAGAAUCUCUAAUACAAGGCCAGUAGUACAGCCCCAUGAUGGUAAGAACAGUCUCCAAACAGUUUGAAAAGGUACGGUUCAAACAGAAGAAGAUGAACCAGUUUGCCAUUUGACAAAAGAGCUACUAAAAAAGUUAAGGAAGCAAUCCAGAAUAAAAUGCAAAUACAAACCAAGAAAGAUUAAGAGGAAACCACUAACAGACUUAUCUAAGUAUUUCAUUGAAGCUCAGGAUAUCUAAUCUAACACCCUUCCCGUUACAUCGACCUAUCAUUGCGUAGGGAACCAUCAAAUGUAGUGUAAUGAUGGGUUGGCUCCAUUAUUGUAGAUAAUGUUUGUUUUUUAUUAACCAAGGUUUAAUCUUGGUUAAAUUCAUAGCCAUAUCAUUCAAAAAUGUAAAGCAAUUAACUUAGUAUGCUGCAUAGAAAGGAUACAGACCAAGUUGCAACAUUUCCUCCAUAUAAAGCAUCAGAGAGUUUAUACAAAUAGAGAUCACCAAUAGCUGAAAAUAUGGAUUGCAUAAGACGUGGGGCUUUGAUCUGCAAAGAAAUGAAAAAGGUUGUAACACAUAAACCACUCUAUCAACCUUUCUUUGAAUACGGUGAAAGCUAGAUAAAACUAUGUUCAAUUGAAUCAGAUUUUGGAUAAAACUUAGUUCAAAAUCAAGAUAACUAGGUUCUGCUUCUAAUAAGACCAAAAAAAAUCGAGAAACAAACCAUUAUGUAGGGAGUAUCAAGGCCAGUAACUUGUAGAAGUUUAUACAAGAAUGCGAACAACAUUGGAUGCAAAUAGCUUCGUAUUCCUCUUUUCCACUCCCAUGUCAUAUAACCAUACCUGUCAUUAACAUCAAUCAACCAACAAAAACUUACUAUGGAUUCAUUGCUCAAAUCACUGAUUCUUCUGAAUUAUCACUUCAACUAUGUGAUUUAUGCUUCCGAGACGAAUCUAGCACUAACACAGAUCAACGAAUGCAGUAAGAGAAACAAACACCAAAGUCUCAGUUCAAUCAGUUCCCACGAAUCCAACUUCAACUAAAGGAAAAGUCAAGUUUCAGAACCAGAGAAUAGAACCAUUUACCCAAAUAUGGUGCGGUGAGCUACUUCAAGUGAUUGCCAAUGUUCGUCAGGAUUGAAAUAAGUCUGAAUCAACAAUGCAUUUACCACACGAAACGCCAAGCAGAACAAGAAUAUCCUCCUCGGAGAUCCUAUUCGACCACCAAACGAAUCAGGUUCAUCUCCGACAUUAACUGACGCGCCAUCGGCGCCACCGUCGCCAUCGCCGCCGGCGUUCUUCCGCUUCCUUAUAUCCAUCGAAGAAGUCGUUAAAGUGCCUGCGAUUAUUAACACGUUGGAUUAAUUCACUGCUCAGCUUUCCAAAUUUUAGUGGGCUUAUAUAAAACGGGCUCUUGAUUAUUUUAGGCCCAUCUAUUUUUCAGUGAAGUCAUUGCCCUAUAAUUCGAACUUCGACGAUUGAACCUAUCGUUCAGUGAAGUCAUAAUAAUUUGUUAUUCAGUUUAGUUUGUUCCUUUAUUCUCUUUUUGUUAUUUUCGAAGCAAUGCUUCGACAAGAAUACACUCUAUGGACGUUACUUAUUACUUUACUUACGUAAAGAAAUUGACCUAAUACAAACUUUACUUACGUAAGAAACUUAACUGACAUAAAACAUCUAUCCAACCAAUCUGUCAUUCAAUUGCAUGCAGAGACGUGCCUAGAUGAAAAAAUAACAUUUGCUCUCAUCUUCCCCUACACCCUUUAAAUAUCACAAUAUAUUUUGGGUCCCAAUUUUUUUUUUUAUAAUCUUCAUCUGGUAAAACAUGCUUUUUUAGUGGUCAAUCAUUUUGUGUUUUACGUUCAUAGCUCCAUUUCGUAUAGGAACGGGAGUAUAAUUAAAAAGUUGAACGGACAGAUUCAAACAAAAUACAAUCAUAAAUUUUCUUUUUUUCAUCAUUCUUUAAUACUUGUAAAACGUUGAAAUUUAUUUACUUUUCACCAAUUUGAUUGUUUGGACUUUGGAGUAGUACUAUGUAAACAAACACUAUUUUGUAACGUUAAUUAACAUCUACACAAACAACUUUAGGUAAGUAAAUAAAGUCAAAUAAAUCAUAGUUUGUUUUUUUGGAAACAUCAAGUCAAAAAACAAUAACUACUCUUUGGAAAUACAAUUAUGUAAAAAAUCCCACCUAAAUAGUCUUUGUGAAACAAAUGUAAGAAAACAAAAAAAUGGCCGUUUCAUCGUCGCAUCAUGCGGUUCUCUUCCCUUACAUGUCAAAAGGCCACACGAUUCCUCUCCUCCAAUUCGCCCGUCUCCUCCUCCGUCACCGCCGUAUCGUCUCCGUAGACGACGAAGAACCAACCAUUUCCGUCACCGUCUUCACCACCCCAAAAAACCAACCAUUCGUCUCAAACUUCCUCUCUGACGUCGCAUCAUCUAUCAAAGUAAUCUCCCUCCCUUUCCCUGAAAACAUCGCCGGAAUCCCUCCCGGCGUCGAGAGCACCGACAUGCUCCCUUCCAUAUCACUUUACGUGCCCUUCACGCGCGCAACCAAAUCUCUCCAGCCUUUCUUCGAAGCAGAACUCAAGAAUCUUGAGAAAGUUUCUUUCAUGGUCUCCGAUGGAUUCUUAUGGUGGACAUCGGAAUCCGCCGCUAAAUUUGAGAUCCCGAGACUUGCCUUCUACGGCAUGAACUCCUACGCAUCGGCUAUGUGCUCCGCCAUUUCGGUACACGAGCUCUUUACCAAACCGGAAAGUGUUAAAUCUGAUACUGAACCGGUUACUGUACCGGAUUUUCCAUGGAUAUGUGUUAAGAAGUGUGAGUUCGAUCCGGUUUUGACCGAACCGGAUCAAUCGGAUCCAGCGUUCGAGCUACUCAUUGACCAUCUUAUGUCCACCAAGAAAAGCCGUGGAGUUAUAGUGAACAGCUUUUACGAGCUCGAGUCAACGUUCGUUGACUACCGGCUCCGUGAUAACGAUGAACCAAAACCGUGGUGUGUUGGGCCUUUGUGUUUGGUAAAUCCUCCAAAACCGGAGAGUGAUAAACCGGAUUGGAUUCAUUGGUUGGACCGGAAACUAGAGGAAAGAUGUCCGGUUAUGUAUGUGGCGUUUGGAACGCAGGCUGAGAUAUCGAACGAGCAGCUCAAGGAAAUAGCAUUAGGGUUGGAAGAUUCCAAGGUACGUUAAAGAAUGGAUUAAUGCCAACUUAAAACCUCAUAUUAAUACAGUUGACCAAUCACUUUUAUUAUUCCACCAAAUUCCAUGCAUGUCCUUUUAUUUGUUUUUGGUAUCAACCCAUAAAACAUUUUUUAGUCUAUAUAUAUAUAUAUAAAGAAAAGUAUUGUUUUGUGAAUUUACGUGGUCUUGAUUGUUUUAAAAAGGUCAAUUUCUUGUGGGUCACGAGAAAGGACUUGGAAGAAGUAACUGGAGGAUUAGGGUUCGAAAAGAGAGUGAAAGAGCAUGGGAUGAUUGUGAGAGAUUGGGUAGACCAAUGGGAGAUAUUGUCACAUAAAAGUGUCAAAGGGUUUUUGAGUCAUUGUGGAUGGAACUCGGCGCAAGAGAGUAUUUGCGCUGGGGUUCCACUACUCGCUUGGCCAAUGAUGGCAGAGCAGCCACUCAAUGCGAAGUUGGUAGUGGAGGAGCUAAAGAUCGGAGUAAGAAUCGAAACAGAAGAUGUAAGUGUGAAAGGAUUCGUGACAAGAGAAGAACUUAGUCGAAAGGUACCGUAUAUAUACCCUUUCAUGUUUCCAUCUUUUGUUUUAAUUGGUGUCAUGCAUAUAUUAGAAUAAAAUGUUUUGAAUAUGGUAAUCAUGGCUUUGCUUUUUGACUAACAAAUUAACAAGAAGGAAGCCUCUUUUUCCGUUUGACUGUAGAGUACCCCUUGAUUGUAUUUAUUAUUUGUACUAUUUAGGUUAAACAAUUGAUGGAGGGAGAGAUGGGGAAGACAACGAUGAAGAAUGUAAAAGAGUAUGCGAAAAUGGCGAAAAAAGCUAUGGCUCAAGGGACUGGUUCGUCUUGGAAGAGUUUGGAUUCGCUUCUGGAAGAGCUUUGUAAGAGUAGAGAGCCAGACGGUGUUAAUAAGUUGUCAAGUUCUGAUGCUUAGAGAGAUUAAGGAUUGGAUAACAAAACGGCUUCGUACCUAAUUUUAGUCAUUAAAUAUGUUAGGUUUGUUGAAAAGUUGGUCCAUUCUUCUCAAUUGGAUAUGAAUGACUAAUUUGGAGUUCUAAUUCUUGGUUUUGGUCUUAUAGUUUCAAAAAAUUUCAAUUGCAUUCAGUGGUUGCUUUAUGAGAUUUUUGCUAUCUUUGAGGUUAAUAUUGGCUGGUCAAUCCGAAGAAGCUAUCAACACCUUAGUGUUCUUCUGAAAGACUUAAAAAUGAGUUUGUAUGCAAAAGUAGUAUCUACUAUGAGAAGAAAUCAGACUAUAUAACAUUGAGACAGUUUAAGAACAAUGUAUUUUUACUCUACACUCGUUUUCUAUAUCUAACAUCCUCAAACCGAAACGAAAAGAAAAGAAAAAUUACAAGUUGAAAUAAUUAAGGGAGUUUCCUAACUAUUUACCAUCUAAAACCAAACAGUUCACACAAAAGUUUUUUGCCCAUAAUGACUACACUUUAAACGUCUUCUUUAUCUAUAGAGAAAUCAGGCUCAUCUGGUUUGAAUAGUUGAGGCAUCUUCAAACUGGUGGAAGAUCCAUCUUUCUUACCAGUACUACUACUUGAAGCCUUUUGAUUUGUUCCUCUUCUCGUGUUCGCCGCAAAUUUAGAUGCUAAGAUCGUUGCUCCCAGAUUUGUGUUGUCCAUUGAUCCGCCUUCCUCGUCACUUCCAUAGUAAUACUCUCUAGUUUCUUCGUCUUCUUCAUUGUAACCUGUUUCAUCCGGGUAAUAGUAUCCGCUACUCUCGUGAAGGCUGAGCUCUUUCGCAAGCUUUCUUCGCUUGUAUCUUCUCCAUGCAGAUUGGACAAAACAUGCUCCCCAUGCUCUCCAUUGAUGUGAGUAGUACCUGAAAGCGUGUUGAAGCUUUUUGCUUUGAAGACGUUUGAACUGAUGAGCAACAAACUUAAGAUCCUCUGCGCUUAAUGCAAAGGCUUCUACUUCAGAGAGGGCACGGACGCUUCGUGUUGAAGACGGAAGAUUGAGUGUAGAGUUUGGCAUUAAGGCCCAUGUAAGAAGUUCUUCCCCACAGAAAUCGCCAGGUCGUAGAGUAGUGGAGUUGAAGAAACCAGAUCUUCCUCCAUUUGUUGUUGAGCUCUCUAUUUGUCCUCGGAUCACAAAUAGCAUCUCAUUCACCGGAUCACCUUCACGGAAUAUGUAUGUCCCGGCCGUGCUUAAAGAUGAGACAAGGCAUCCGCAUAUAGCAUCAAGAAGUUGAUCAUCCAUUUGAGAGAAGAACGGGACCUGCACUUACCACAACAAUGUGACUUCUGAAUUGAAAAACAAUCAAAUCCAUAACAGUUUUUGAUGACUGAGUUGAUGUAUGUACCCGGCGAACAAGGGAGAGACAAAGAUGACGUUGGAUUUCACGGCGUAAAUCUGUAGGUAAUGAAUGGAGGAUUGAUUCUUCAUCGACACCUCUGGUUGCAAGCCAUUUGUAUUGGACAAAUCUUCGGACACGUUCUUGAAGCUCUGGAGGUAGUUGACGAUGUCUCAUCCAUUCUUCAGUGUCUCUUCUCUUAACUCUCCAUUCCUCAACUCUUACUGACAUCGAUUGCAGAGAAGACUUUCCACCAAAUUAAAAAUCAUGAAGUCUAUUGUUAGAAAGACAAAAAAAUGUCUCUGUAUUGAAAAGUUUUGCAGAGUGAUGCAUAAGCUCUGAAUCUUACUUGCAUGUUACCAAUCAGGAGUGUGAAGAGAAUCAACCCAAAAAUACAAAUUGUUAUACAGAACAAGGUCUCGCCAAGGUAUACACUUGUGGUUAUAUUCUGUCCAUAAGAACUGUGAAACAAAACCUUUAUUAAAACCAAAGGAGGACAAUUUAAGCAGAUACUGGUUAGAUAAAAGGUUGUCAUACCUUAGAUUUCUUAAACCCCACCAAAGACAAUACAAGUACUUGGACACAAAAUCUGUUGUAGCAACUUGAGUGGUAAAGGCUUCAGCAAACAUUCCGAAUUUGAAAUUGGUAGUGCUGCUUGUAGCAUCACAAUGAGAAAGGACCUGAGUAACGUUCUGCCAAUACUGGCGCUCUGGUUGUUCUAAACUCUUGCAAUCCAAGAAGCUAGGAAGACAAUCCAAAACUCUCAAAGCGUUGUCUUUCUUGCAUACGUUGGACCAGCACGAAAACUGCCGCCCGAUUGAUGACAGAUACCACAUUGCUCCUAACACCUGCCCACAAAUAGAGAUUCUUAGCAACUUAAAACUGAAGAAACCUAAAGAUUUGAAAAAACACACAAGAUAAAGAAAACUUACGUGACUAGCAAGGAUGUACAAUAGGAGGUUGUAUGCAGCUCCUGCCCAAGCAGUCUUGGCGAUAAACCCGGUUGUUUUGAUAAUCCUUUGGUUGAGUGGGAAUAUGAUGAAUGAUCUUGGAAUGUAUUGAACAAGAACGAUAAGUGCGAGAGUGCUAUUGGCAUGAUUAGCAGUUCCAUUUGUGGCCGCUGGAAUUACUAGCCAAAUAACAAGCUGAGAUCAAAAGAUAGUCAGAAACAAAGCAUGAGGCUCCCAAAAUAUCUCUGUUCUUUAAUCUUCUAGCUACCGCCUAACGAUUUUUGAACAUUGAUCUUAGCUAAUCGUAAUCCAUAUCAUUGCUUUCACAUUCAAAAUAAGAGCAAAAUCUUAAGAACCUGAGGAAGGGGAAGCAUGGCGGCGACAUCAAUGAGGAAAUCUGUCUUCAAGUAUCUCAUAGCAAUCUCUCUAGAAUCCAUAACAAGCUCACCGCGACCAAAAACACGAGAACUCCUCGCGACGAACGCAGUUCUGAAUUUCAUGAAAAUGUGCAAGAGGUGGAAGAUAUCGGCGACUGUACGGAAGAAAGUGACAGUAGCGGCGAGGCUGAUGUCGAUGGAGAGACACGCCGGACCACCGACGUAAGGGACGUAGAAAUAGAAAGGAUCGAGGAAGAGAGCGAGGAUUGAGGUAAUGAGAAAGACGUGGUUCCAAUAGGUGACGAUGUUGCUGUCCGGGUCCAGGAUCUGAUGCCGCCAUAGGACGCUGAAUUGGCUACCGUCAGAUCCUCGAUUUGAGGCGGCGGUGGAGGCGGAGGUUAUGGUCUCCGGGAGGAGGCAGCGGAGAGACCGGAUUUUAUUCAUCUUCCAUGGCGGAUUCCGGUGUUAAAUCGGAUUCCGCAUUAACACAGAGAGAGAUUGAGAUUGAUGGACAGAGAGGCUAGGUGGUUGCGUCGUGUGAUUUUUUGUUUUUUUGGGUUUUUGCAUUUUGUUUUUGAUGAUUAUGGAAGAAGGAGAGGAUUUCUCGCGGGAAAACUGAGAGAAGGGCCAUGGAAAUAGGGGGAAGGGUAGUUUUUGAAAAUAUGAUGGGAGAAUGAGGGUAUUUACGGAAUGUUAUAGUUGCGGGUCUCGUUUGUUUAUGCUGUUUUUGUGUUCUCAAAACAGCACACGUUUUGCAUCUCAAAACUUCAAUCGACACAAUAUCUACUGUUCUUAGUUGUUGGACCCACCGGCCCAAUAGUUAUAGAUCGGCCCAAUAGUUAUUUUUUUCUACUUUUUUUCUAUGAAAAUCAAAGGGAUAUAUACUAUAUAUGCUUUAGGAUUUUAAAAUUACACAUUAUAAUGUAUACAAUUGCUAUGAUCAUUUCUAUUGAUAAACUAAUAAUGUUUUUAGUAGUUUUAACUUAAAGUCCGGUUUAAUAUUGUUUAGUUCAAUUGUUCAAAGAAUAAAAAAAAAAAUUAUAAUUAAUUCGUAAAACCAUGAUAAGAUUAGUUAAAAUAUCUAAUUCGUUAUGAGGUUCAUUAGAAUUUAUUUAAGUGAAUUAUUGAAGUUUUAUGAGCUACAUUUAUUAUAUUUUGUCAACACAUUAAACCCGUAAUUCAAUUAUACUGUCUUUUGUAGUAUUUCCGUUUUUGACAUCAGUUUAACAAAUUGUCUUACAUAAUUCAUUUGUUGUUGUUAUGUACUAUUAAAAGUAUAUAGAAGCACGCGUACCAAACAUUCUGUGACAAUAUGUGGUAGUGGGAAGAUAGUGUACAUGCUUGUUGACACCAUCCAUAAGAUAGUGUACCUAUAAAAUAACAAAAAGGGAAUAGAAAUCCUUAGAAACAAUUAUGCGAAUAUAAAAGGGAUAAUAAGAAGUGAGAAUAAUAAAAUGAAUACUGAAAUUAAAAAUUACGUCACGGAAAAAUGAUGUUUAUCCACACAAAAAGAACAACAACUUCCAUCAUAUCAUAUAGAGGGACAUACUAACUUUUCCACUUCCAAAAAAUCACACUUAUGCGUAAUUGUUUUCUCUAACAAUAAUGACGUAUUUUAGUCCUUCAAAUUUUAGUACUCCAUCAUUUUCCGAUUAGACACAAAGUAGUAAUUUCAAUAUAAAAAAUUAAUAACAAGCUUUUAUAAAUGAUUAUGAUAACUUAUACUAACAUAUGUGACAAUAUUGUUUUCUCUAUGCUUGUUAAACGUAAUUAAGAAACAAUGAUGUUAAUUACUCCAACUAAUUCAUGGAUCUAGAAAUACGAUGUUGGUUAAACAUUAUUAUCGACUAAUUUAUUACUUCGUUAAUGGCUGCUAUUAAGUAUGACCACGUGUGGCAGAUUUGAGAUGUUUAGCGAUCUUUAAAUAUAGAAUCCGACGGGAUCCAAUUCUCCUCUUUUUUUUUUAUUCCACUUUGCCACUGUGAUUAUAUAAUAAGUAUGAUUAAUUAAGAGAUUUACAUUCUAUUGAUUUACUUUAUUAUUUUAUUCAUGUGGAGUAGACUAUACGACAACUACUUUAUCGUUACUUUUUAAUUUUAUUUUUUAGUGAAAAUUUGCUAGUCAAGUUUAGAAAAUUCAAAAUAGCAUUUCACUUUUAUAUGCACGAUUGAUUUCGUUGCUUAUAUUAAGAUAAGGAAAACAAAUGUUACUCUUCCUAAAAAAAUUGUUCUUUGAGAAUACAAUUUACGUGUUCCUCUUUUCAAUAAAGUCGCUGGUGUUUAUGAAACACACAUUAGAAAGAAAAAAAAAAGAUUUAAAACAUUUAUGAAGAUGGCAAAGGUUCCCACUUCCCAUUGUAGGAAGCAACAAAUUUCCUUUUUGUUUGAUUAAUAUAAAUGCUUACGGGACGCAAGAAGAAAUUUCGUGAUCGUGAACAUAUUAAUCAUUUGGGACCCUAAUGAAAAAGACUAAUAAAAUCUUUUGUUUUAUCGAAUAAAAAGUAGAUUGUAGUUUUGUGAAGUUUAAAGCACUCGCUUAUCAAUUGUUUUAUCUAAAGAAAUAAGAUAAGCUGCUUUCAAAGUGGUAAGAGUUAGGUCUUGAUAAAAAAAAAGUCUUGAAGGUGGUGCCACACCAAAAUCCUUGCACCUUUCUAUUACAUACACACGUGUAUAGAGAUUUUUAGUCAUAUCUUUGAAUAAAUAAUCUUUGGAUAUAUGUAUAGUGAAUAAUUUGUGGGUUUGAGAGUUGGAGAGGAUGAACUACAGGUCACGUAAUAUACCCUAAAAUAAACCAUCACGAAAGAAUAGAAUAGAGAAUCUCUUGGUACUAUCAAACAAACAAUAAAAAAAAAAAAAAGUAAAAGUGACGAAGACACCAAUCUAUUCAUUUCCCACCCAUCUCCCAUUAAUAUUUCUUUCAUCUCUUAUUAUUUUUUACAUGCAUAUUUUUCUAUCUCUAACCUUUUGUUUUUGGUUCACUCAAAAUUUGUGGUACUUUGAUCCACAUAUAAUAUUUGCAUAUGUUAGUACGGUCUUAUAUAAUAGCCAUGUGAUAGUAAACCCUUUCACAACAUACAGUAAAUAUACCUAGUAUAUAUAGUUUCAACGGUUCAAGAUUCAAAAUAUCGUCUUAAACAGCGACCAGAUAUUCUUGAACCUCCAAAACGAUCUAAUUUUAAUAAAUUGGUGAAUGAAAUCGAUUUAUUAGUUUAAGCUUUUAAAAUCGGUUUUGAUCAAUCAAAUCGGCCUAGUGUGAAAAAACAGAAAUUUUUCUAUUUUCUUUUUUUUUUUUUUUUUUUUUUUGCAGCGAAUCUAUAAUACAUGUAAAAUUAACUAGUGUGAAAAAAUGUUACAAAGAUCUUACGUGAAUUUCGACACAAUCACCUAUAUAUAGUCAAAAAUGAAUUUUGAUAUAAUAAUACUAAUAUACUUAACCAUAUAAAAAGAUUUGCACAUUCUUCCAUAACAAAGAAGGCCCCACUAAUUUUCUUAAGGAGUAUGUUAUUUUGCAGUUAUAUUUGUGGCAGUUAUCUUAAUCAUUCUUUCAUAUGUUUUGUCUGUGUGUUUCCUCUCUCUCUCUCUCUUUGUGGUUCUUGAUUUUGUUGGCCAAACCUUUUCCUUUGUACCUUCAAUGCCAUUAAUCACAAACCCAAAGAAUCCAUAGAGAAAAAGUUCCUAACGUCAAUCGAAUUAAAUUCCCCACUUUUCCACAAAAACUAAAUCGCAUCUUUUGAAGUUUCUCAUCUCCCAAAAAUGUUAUUCCUUUGAUCUUUAGAUACAAAACCCAUUCAAUGGAUCUCGAGCGUCUAAGCCCAAGAAAUCCAGUUAAGGUAUAAAAUUCUCAAUAUUCAAUUCCAUAAUCCUUUCUUUCUUUUAGUUGCUUAAAUUGGUAAUGGUUUUUGCAGAAAGAAUCUUGGUGGACGGUUCUGACAUUAGCUUACCAAAGCUUAGGUGUAGUCUACGGAGAUUUAGCAACUUCACCAUUGUAUGUCUACAAGAGCACUUUUGCUGAAGACAUAACACAUUCUGAGACAAACGAAGAGAUCUUUGGUGUUCUGUCUCUUAUCUUCUGGACAUUAACUUUAAUCCCACUUGUUAAAUACGUUUUUAUUGUUCUUCGUGCUGAUGAUAAUGGUGAAGGUGGGACUUUUGCUCUCUACUCUUUAUUAUGUCGCCAUGCUAGAAUCAGCUCUUUGCCCAAUUUCCAGCUCGCUGAUGAGGACCUUUCUGAGUAUAAGAAAAAUUCCGGGGAGAAUCCGAUGAGAUUAAAAGUUCCGGGGUGGAGUUUGAAAAACACUCUGGAGAAGCAUAAGUUUCUGCAGAAUAUGUUACUUGUUCUUGCUCUGAUUGGGACUUGUAUGGUUAUUGGUGAUGGUGUUCUCACACCUGCAAUCUCUGGUAAAAGAUUGUUUCCUUUUUGUUAGAUUUGUGUGGAUUUCUCAAGAUCUUUAGUAGUUGAUGGUUUUGUAUUAUUUUUGGGUGUGAAUUUGCAGUUUUCUCAGCAGUCUCUGGAUUAGAAUUAUCCAUGUCUAAGCAGCAACAUCAAUGUAAGCUCUUUACUUCUUUUGAUCAGGAUGUAAAAUUGGAAUUUUUAGUAUCACUAGAUCCCCAAAAUGUCAAAUUAUGCUAUUUUUAGUGUUUUCCUCUGAAGUUUAGUCCAUACUGUUUAAGAUAGUUUAGGAGCAGGAUUUGCUGCAUCAGGUAGUUUUAGAUUAGCUAUUUUGGUCUUUCUUUUGUCCACAUAGUCAAUUGGCUACUUGCAUGUUAGGUUGAAUCCAUGUAGGAUCAACAAGAAGCUUCUUAAUUAUGUAUAAAAUAAGUUAAUUAACUUUUUUUUUUGGUGUGGAAGGUGAGUCUGAUGCAGAUGCAUUCUUAUAAUCAUAAGAUAAUGAAUGUGGUUUAGGAGUUAAUAAUUUAUUAAAGAUAUAAAAUCUAAAGGAAUAUAAAAGUCAUAAAGCUUAUACCUUUUGAAAACUCAAGUGGUCAAAGAAAAAGGUAGUUGGUUUGGAUAAGAAGACUAUCAAGUCAUAAAGUUCUUAUGAAUUUGAAGUAACCUUCUUUAUUUGAAUCAUUAACCUGCACAAUUCUUGCAGAUGUGGAGGUGCCUGUGGUCUGUGCCAUACUGAUACUCUUGUUCUCGCUACAACACUAUGGAACACAUCGUUUAGGUUUUGUUUUUGCUCCCAUUGUGCUUGCAUGGCUUCUCUGUAUAAGCACCAUUGGUGUAUACAACAUCUUCCAUUGGAAUCCUCAUGUUUACAAAGCAUUGUCUCCUUAUUACAUCUACAAGUUCCUCAAGAAAACUCGUAAACGCGGAUGGAUGUCCCUCGGUGGCAUCCUUUUAUGCAUUACAGGUAACAAAAGAGAGAAAGAACUGUUUUGUUUUUGAGUUUCAAAGCUUUUUUCCCAUAAAUUUGUUUCUGUCCUGUUUUCGCAGGCUCGGAAGCUAUGUUUGCUGAUCUAGGACACUUCACUCAGUUGUCAAUACAGGUAAAGUUUUGUAAACUUUGAAUAUUUUGUGUUCUGUUGUUAGCUGUCCCUGAAACCUGCAUGUUUUUUUUGACUCCCUGGCUGCAGAUUGCAUUCACAUUCGCUGUUUACCCGUCGUUAAUCCUCGCAUACAUGGGUCAAGCCGCGUAUCUAUCUAAGCACCAUGUCCUCCAGAGUGACUACCGGAUUGGAUUCUAUGUUUCUGUACCAGGUAUAUAUCUACUCAUCAUCUUGUUAACCAGCUAAAAUGCAAUUCUUUGUUUGGCAUAGUUUUUCACUAGUUUGUUUGUUGUGUACAGAGCAAAUAAGAUGGCCAGUUUUAGCAAUUGCUAUAUUGGCAGCUGUUGUUGGAAGUCAGGCAAUAAUCACAGGAACAUUCUCGAUCAUCAAGCAAUGUACUUCUCUAGGUUGCUUCCCAAAAGUCAAAAUCGUACACACUUCGUCGAGAAUGCAUGGUCAGAUAUAUAUCCCUGAGAUCAACUGGACUCUCAUGCUCUUGUGCUUAGCCGUCACCGUUGGAUUCCGCGACACCAAACACAUAAGCAAUGCAUCAGGUACAGUAUCUGUAACCAUAGCCAUAACCACUAAACUAACAAAUGUAUGAAAAUCAAGAAACUCUCCGGUUCUGAUUUUUUUCUUCUCUGUAAUCUGUAUGCAGGUUUGGCGGUUAUUACCGUUAUGCUAGUAACGACUUGCUUGAUGUCUUUGGUAAUAGUCUUAUGCUGGCGCAAAAGCUCCCUCUACGCACUAGCCUUCAUUUUCUUCUUCGGAACAAUUGAAGUUCUGUAUUUCUCAGCUUCACUCAUCAAAUUCCUCGAAGGGGCUUGGGUUCCAGUCGCACUCUCCUUCAUCUUCCUCCUCAUCAUGUACGUUUGGCACUACGGAACCCUUAAGCGUUACGAAUUUGACGUUCAAAACAAAGUCUCAAUCAACUGGCUCCUCACACUUUUCGGCUCUUCAAACCUCGGAAUUGUCCGAGUCCAUGGAAUCGGCGUGAUCAACACCGAACUUGUCUCGGGCAUACCAGCUAUCUUCUCUCAUUUCAUCACUAACCUCCCGGCGUUUCACCAAGUCGUUGUCUUCCUCUGCGUGAAAUCUGUCCCCGUCCCGCAUGUGAAACCGGAGGAACGGUUUCUAGUGGGAAGGGUUGGACCGAAGGAGUACCGGCUCUACCGGUGUAUAGCCCGGUAUGGAUACCGCGAUGUACACAAAGACGAUGUCGAGUUUGAGAAUGACCUCAUUUGCAGUAUCGCGGAGUUUAUCCGUUCAGAUAAACCAUUGAAUUACUCCCCGGACCCGGAAAAUGAAUCUGGAAUAAAUGAGAGGCUAACUGUCGUCGCGGCUUCCUCUUCCAAUCUUGAAGGCGUACAAAUCUAUGAAGACGAUGGUUCUGACAAACAAGAACCAUCUUCUUCUUCGGAGGUAAUCAUGGUGGCUCCUUCUCCGAGAUUCAAGAAAAGGGUACGGUUUGUGUUACCAGAAAGUGCGAGGAUCGAUAGAUCGGCGGAGGAGGAGCUAACAGAGCUCACUGAGGCUCGUGAGGCAGGAAUGGCGUUUAUAAUGGGACAUUCAUAUGUGAGAGCAAAAUCGGGAUCGAGUGUGAUGAAGAAGAUCGCUAUUAACUUUGGCUACGAUUUUCUUAGAAGAAACUCAAGGGGUCCUUGUUAUGGUCUCUCUACUCCUCACGCUUCUACUUUAGAAGUUGGUAUGGUUUAUAUCGUUUGACUAUACUUUUUUCUUUUUUGUUAAAUCUGAAUAAACUUCAGUUUUGUAAAUUAUGGUAAGAUAAAUUUGUCAGAGUUCUUUUUCGUUGUUGUUGUAAUUUUUGUGUAGAGAUGUUAGAGUUGCGUGUGGCAUAAGUGACAUGCUUUUUGUUUUUGUAAUGACUUGUCCCUACUGAUUAGGAUUCAAAGAGAAAAGGAUUGAAGAAUAAGCAGACAAGACUGAGCAUAUGAUUCUUGUCUCUUUAUGUUUCUUUAACUCCAAAUCUUCUCUUUUGUCGGUUUAUCUCAUCAUAUAUGUAAGUGCAUAGAAACACAUAUACAUGUACAAUUGCAUAUUUAUCUACUCUCUGAACUUGUGAGCAACUCUUGCUCUGUUUUCCUUAAAAAAAAUGAGGAAAAAUGCAAAUUUGUUGAUUUUGUUUAUGAUUUUCAUGUUUUUCUUUUGUGGGUUAUCCUCAGUUUCAGCUAAACCUCCUCCUGUUAGUGAGUUGUUUAUUACCCUAAACUGAUUUUCUUUAUAUAAAUACAAGUUUUCACUUUUGUUGUAAUGAAUGUCUGAAAAUGUUCUUGUUUUUCUCUGUUUUGGGAACAGAGAUUGUAAGUGGGCUUGUGACAAAUGUAGCAUCGAUACUCUGGAAAUGGUUAUGGUCUCUUCAAACAUCCACAACCACAACAACCACCACAAAAUCUGGUAAGAAGACCCACAAACAAAGAAGUGUAUAAUGAUCUUGAUUUCAAAGUUUCAAUUGCAAAAAUAAAGAGAAACUUGAGGAAAUGUAACAGGUGUUUCUAGCCGUUCGAUGGUGAAAUACGAAAGUGGAUAUAACAUGGAGACAGUUUUUGAUGGAAGUAAGCUUGGGAUUGAGCCCUAUGCGAUUGAAGUUUCCCCUAAUGGAGGAGAGCUUAUUGUCUUGGAUUCUGAGAACAGUAACAUCCACAAAAUCUCCAUGCCUCUUUCUAGAUGUAAGUUCACUUCAUAUCUAUCUUGCAUUUGAUUGAUUAUAAAGAAACUCUUAAGAUCGAUUUUUCCGGACACGUAUACAAUUUAUUUUAUGGGAUAUUCAAUCAAUUCCCAUUCCUAUAUAUGACCCACCAAAAAUGUUAAAUCAUGUAUGCACAAUUAUGCUUUGCUUCAAGAUGGGGAUUCGUUUUGGUGCGCUUUUUAUUUUUUAGUUCAGUUAAAAAGUGAGUUCUUCAUUUCAGAUUCCAAAGUUUCUUUCUUUGAAAACCAAAGCCUUUUAUAGAUUAUAACUUUUGCACUUUAGUCCACAACACGACUCAUUAGCUUUUAUCCAUGCUCUGCUUUGUUCUCUGUUUUUCAGGUUUAUUCAUUCUGUUCUUUCUUGUUCGUCAAGUUAACAACCUUUUGUCAGACUAAAGCACCGAACUAUUGCUUAUGGAUAGAUUCUAGGAUUUAAAUUAGACAGAUUCAGAUUCUUAGGGAUUUGUGAAUUAAUCUGUGUUUUUGAAUAUGCUGAAGAUGGUAAACCAAAGCUACUCUCUGGUUCACAAGAAGGCUACACAGGACAUGUCGAUGGGAAACUCAAAGAAGCGAGAAUGAAUCGUCCUCGAGGAUUAGCCAUGGACGACAGGGGGAACAUCUACGUCGCCGAUACUAUCAAUAUGGCCAUACGCAAGAUCAGCGAUGACGGUAACUACAAUUCGUUUGCAUGCGUUUCCGCUUUGAAAAACGGAAUUUUAAUUAAAGUUUUUUUGUUCAGGAGUCUCAACCAUCGCCGCUGGAGGAAGAUGGAGCGGUGGAUCUAAAGAGGAGUCAAUGAGAUUCUCCGAUGACUUUGAUUUAAUAUAUGUCUCUUCAAGCUGCUCUCUUCUAGUCAUUGAUCGAGGGAAUCAAUUGAUUAAAGAGAUUCAGCUUCACGAUCAUGACUGUUCUCAACCGGAACCCGACACAGAUAGUCUCCAUCUUGGUAAGCUUCUUGAAAAAACGACAUUGGUUGUUUAUAUUUGGUGUUGUGGUUUUCUUAAAAACGAUGCCAUUUCGGUUUGUAUAUCUUUGUAGGAACCGCUUUGCUGGUUGCUGCUGUGUUCUUUGGGUAUAUGUUAGCAUUAUUAGUUCGUAGGGUACGAUCGCUGUUCUCUUCGUCUAGCCAUGUGAGUGAAUCUGUUUGCUUUGGUUUGGUUCGGUUCGAAAUUUGAACUAGGGUAGACAACCAAUAAGCCUCAUUGCUCUGUUUUUGAUUUCAGGAUACUAAGAGUAAGAGACAUGUAGCAACACCGAGCAUGACAAUGGCUCCGUACCAACGUUAUCCAAGACCGGUACGACAGCCAUUAAUCCCACCUCAACAUGAAUCGGAAAAAGAAGAAGGAUUUCUCGGUUCGCUUGGAAAGCUAGUCGUGAAAACCGGUUCUUCGGUUUCCGAGAUGAUGUCCGGUUCUAGAAAUGUAAUUCCCCCAAACUUUCAUCAGUACCACCAUCAGCAAGAACCGAACCAAUGGCCGGUACAAGAGAGUUUCGCUAUACCGGAAGAAGAUGGACCACCAGCUUUAGAACCGAGAUCAGGUACAAAUCCAGAUAAACCCUACCUUAGAGCACAAGGAACCAACCAAAACCGGUCUUAUUACCAAGACUAUGAUCAAUACCAAAACCAGCAGAAACGCAAUGUGAACGAUACAGCGUCGUUCGAAGAUAACCGAGAGAAGAACGAGAUUGUUUUUGGGGCAGUUCAGGAGCAGGACGGUCGCCGAGAAGCCAUGGUGAUCAAGGCCGUUGAUUUCAACGAAGCCAUUAACGAUCAGCGCAAUCUACGGCCCAGAAUUAAUUAUAUGGGAUAUUCUUCACAAGUUUACUGAUUAAAGAAAGUCAAAUUUUCAUAAUUUACGUAAAGCGUGUGUAAUAUAUUUCUUCAAGUUCUUAUUUUAAUGUAGGAUACUUUAAAUCAUAUAAUUGGCUCACUAACGGUCGACCGUUAUAAAAGUUACCGGGACUAACGGCUUACUGCACCGACUUAACAAGUUAUACUAUGAGAUCAGACCAUCUAAUAUUUAACAAAUCUACCGGUUCAAUUUCGGUUCAUAUCAGCAAAACCGAUGGCCAGGUAAGUGAAGAUUCUUAAAAACCGGUUUAUGGCAGUUACGUACGCAAUUCCAGCUCUUGAUUUAGUUGCCAUUUAUAUCCCAUUUAUUUCGCAUUGGUUAUACAGAGUACGAGAGAGAAAUAGAAGACGAAGAAGAAGAAGGAGAUUUCUUGCAAGAGAAAGAGAAAAUUAGGGUUAGGGUUGCAGAGAAACAGAGAGGAAGAAGGAUUCGAAGAAUCCAAAUCCAAGCUCUGUAUUCAUCUCUCUCCCUUUCUCUUAAUCUUUACGAUCUUUCUCAAAAUCAAUCUCAUUGUUUCAUGGGCCUUGAAUCUUUUCCGAUCUCUGAAAUGGACGCGACCGAUGAAAUGCACGAAGCCAUGUUCGCGAAACGAGGUUGUUGUUUUAUCCUCCCUUGUCUUGGAUCAUCUCAGCCAUCUGGUCCUAACGGAUCUGUGUGGUGGCAACGAAUCAGAACCGUUGAUAAAUUGGAGCCUGAUGAGCGGUGGUGGGUCUCUGGGUGGAUGAAGAUGAGGGAAUGGUCUGAGAUCGUAGCUGGUCCCAAAUGGAAAACUUUUAUCCGUCGCUUUGGACGUAAUCACUGCUGCAACGGUGGCAUUGACGGUGGUUGUAAUCGGCCGGAGCAUGUUAGUUUCCGGUACGAUUCGUGGAGUUACUCGUUGAAUUUCGACGACGGGAAACAGACGGGUCAUUUCGAAGAUGAGUUUCCUUACCGUGAUUACUCGAUGAGGUUCGCUGCGCCGUCUCUGCCGGUUUCUACUAAAUGCUCCAUUGAUUUCGACAAUGAUAACCACGCGCCGUCGCUGUUUAAGUGAAAAAUGUCACGCGCUUCUCUGUUCCGGUACUGCUCUGUUCUAAAUGGGCUGGCGCUAACGUGCACCGCACUGAUGAAAGGGGAGAUACAUUAGAAGAAACAGUGGAUUUUUUUCUUUGCAAAGAAAUAUUACUUUUUUACACAGCUUUCAUUUAUUUGUUUUUUGUAAUUCUUUCACUUUGAAUGAAAUUAUUUAUUUGAUCACUAUUUUCUCCCAUUUUUGAUUAACUUUAUUUGAUCAAAUUUUGUGAGAAAAUUGUUAGUGAUCAAUUUUUGUAAUUCUACACACAAAGAUAAACUUUUUAGAGAAAGACAUGAUGAAGGUAGGAAACAUAUAUUUAUAUAUUUAUGUAAAAUACAGUAUAUAAUCCAACAAGAAAUAGGAGAAAGGAAGCUAUUUAAUGGGUUGGAGAAGGUUGCAAUUGCAGAGGAAUAGCAACAGAAACGGUAAGAGACUGUCUUUGUGCCUGUCUCUACCUUCAGACAUGCUCACCAUGUUUUUUUCAGGUACAUUACAUUGUUGUAGAAUUACCUUAUGCAAUUUCCUAUUUGGAACCUUGCCAAAAGCUAGAGUUUACUUCUAAGUACCUCUGCUGAUUUCCUACAGUUUCAUGUGUUCAGAAAACUAAACACAAUGUAAUGUUUCAGACAAUGAUCUUGUCUUGUGGUUGAAUCAGUUUUUUUUUUUUUUUUUUUUUUUUUUUUUUUUCUGUAGAAACUUUUUUACGUUUUAGCUACUACUCACUUGUACAUUUUUUAUAUCGUUGGUGGAUCUUAUAUUUUUUAAAUGUUGUCCAUCUUGUCCGUUAAUUAGGUGCAGUAUGAUUUAAAGUGACGGUAUAGCGUUAUGGAUCUUAUUACUUCUGCAGAGAUGCUAAAAUUGAUGAACAAUAUGCUUUUAGAAUAAGUGGUAAUAGCUUAGUGAUUUAGACAUAUUACCCUGAAUUAAGGGAUGGAUAUGGGUAUUGGAAUCUUAUUCAACUAAUAAGGUAAUGAUGUGAAAGUUUAGCUCUGAGUUUUUAUGCAGCUGGAAGCAUCUCAUUGGUGUUGGAACUAAGCUUUUCAUUGCAAGUUGCAGAUAUAUUUAGCUUACACAAUGGCAAAAAAACAAAAUUAAUGUAAUUAAAAACAAAAUUUUCUCUUUAAGAAUUGCUAUACAAUUUACAACUCCUCUCUUCUGACAGUUUUCUCUUCUUAUAGUGCCUUUCAAGAACUCGUUUGGCCUCAGAACUGGGAAAGUUAGCAAGCUUAUAGUAAUGUGGUGCAACAUCUACAAGCCAUUCACCGCGAAUAUGUGUGACGGUUCGGAUGAAAUUUCGGCUAGUGAAAACGUAUUCGUUGUAAACUACCCACUCUGGUUUGUGAUCCAAGCAAUUGGAAGGAUGCAAGUGCACCACUUGGUCAUCCUUAUCUCUGAAAGUCAAGUAGUGGCCAGUGCGUUCUAGGUGAGCCACUUGCAUGAAAUAACCUGCAAGCAAGGCCUUUCUUAUGUUGACGUAGUAGUCCCUGCUGUUGAAAUCAGGGCUACACAACUUAAUCUGAAACCUCAACAUGAUCCGGACCAACUGCUCUCUAACACUAACUGCAGACUUCAUUGCUCUGUAGUUGAUGAACUUUGUACAGCACCAAUUUGGGUCUUGGUUGUUUUGCAAGAAAGCAUGGAACAAAUUCAAAAGUGUGAGAUGAUCUCCAUCAAUGUGUGCAAAGCUAGAUUUGGCUUCAUCUGCUGCUUUUUGAGCUUCUCCUCUUGGCCUGAUGAAACAAUUUGGUACUGAUAACAUCGCAGAAAUCGAAAGAAUCUCGUUUGAGCAGUUGAAUUGAGGACUGACUAUGAGCAUCUUUGCCAUCUGUGGGUCUAAAGGAAACUCACUCAUCAUCUCACCUGUCUUUGUCAAGUUACAGUCAUCAUCAAGUGCUCCCAAAUGAUACAAAUCGUCCAAGGCCCGAGCGAGGGUAUCAGGAGCAGGAGAAUCUAUAAGAUCGAAGCGUACCAAGUUUUUCACACUAAGUCCUUUCAAGGUCAGAACUGUGUUUGCAAGGUUUGUCAUUGUCAUUUGCAAGGAGUAAUAUAAUGUUUGAUGGUCAAAAAUUAUAUUACUCCAUGAAUUUAUGAACCUUCUGACAGAAAGAGAGCUUUUCUAAAGGGUAUUUAUGUCUUUUUACAGGCUUGCUUCGAGUGGAUAAUGUGAGAAAAGAGCAAAACACAAAAAUGAAAAAACCUUCUUCUCUUGUAACUCGCACAACCUUAUCGAGUGAAAGAAGAUUGGGUCAGUAGUGAAAAAUGGCGUCGAUUGCAGCUUCUUCUACCUUUCACUCGUUUUGCAGAACCAAAAGCCCUAAUCUUUCUUCGACCCACCUUCUUCCUUUGUCGAAAAACCUCAACUUUCGGACCAGAGCUAUCGGAAAUAGCCGCAAUUGCAGUUUUGCUGGGUUUAUAAAACAAAAUCGCCUUGGAUUGAGGAAGCUUUCGUCUAUUGGAGAAGGAGGAGAAGGUGUCGCUGUCGCAGAGGAGCAACCGCAAGAGACUGUCUCUGUUCCUGUCUCUCCUUCAGACAUGCUCACCAUGUUUUUCCAGGUACAUCACUCUCUGUCCAGUGAAUUUGUGUGAUUAUCAUCCUCAUUCUCCACUUAUGGCUUUUUAAUAGAUAUAGUAGGAUUGAUUCAUGGUUGUAUUAUAAGGUCUUAGAAAUGAGGUUUGCAAAAUUGUAUUGAUACUGUUUUGAAGAUACUAUGAGCAUUACUCUGUUGCAAUUUCAUGUGGCCUCAAAUUGAGUCUGAACAUUGUUGGAUUUUUUGCUUGAUUAUGAAGGCUGAUGGAACUUUGAACGAAGCAGCUAUUCCUAAUGUGACAAGGGCCUUACAGGUAAUACUUUGCUUUGUAAUCUCUCCUUGAACUAGCAAAUCUGUGUGGAGCUUGACGAGAAUCUUUGUGAAUGCAUCUGGUUCUUGGAUUAUAUAACCCUUUUGGUUACUUGUUUCAAUUCAAUUUAAUCUUUGUAGUUGUGUUAAACUUGGAAUUUGGGUGUUCACUUUACUCUUUCCACGCUCUAAAUCUUCCUUAGUACCUAUAGCUUACAAAAACAGUGAAUAUAAAGGUUCCAAUUGAUACUUGUUUUGUUCUUUCAGGAUAUUGAUGGAGUUUCCAAUUUAAAGGUUCAGGUUUCUGAAGGUGUUGCCGUCGUUGAGGUAUGUUUUACAUCCAACAUUGCCUUUACAUGUCUCUUCACACCCCUACACAGUACACAUAUAUGUUUAGAGGAUAUAAAUAGAUAAGGACAGAUGUUGAAUAUGUUAUUAGAGAUAUAAUGGCUGGCACACCCUUAGAAGGACUGGACUGGUCAAAUAUGUCAUUUUGUUGUACAUUUUGGUGGUUAACCAGGGGAUUAGUCUUUGGGGCCGUAUAACAAAAGCCUCGAGCCUGACCUUGAAUAGUUAAGGCCUUUAUAUGAACGGUUCUGUUACUGCUCGUAGCAACAUCUCUAUGUUUGAUUGUACAAUUGAAUCUGGCUUAUGUUGUGAUCAAUGUAUGUGAAGCUUUUGAAGCAAACAACGGUUCAAGCAACAGGAGUGGCGUCAAACUUGGUGGAGACUAUACAAGGAGCUGGAUUUAAGUUACAGACUUUGAAUCUGAGUUUUGAAGAUGACGAUGAGGUUCUUGUCUAGUGAAAUCAUCCUUUUCCUCCAUUUUGUGAUUAAAGAAACUCAUAAUGUUCAAUUCUAGGGAUAAUUUCUUUCAUUUGUUCCUCUAAAGAAAACAAAUGUGGUAACUUUUUUUAGAAAGUGGGAAUUAAUGUUUUCUUUGUUGAAAUAAAAGAGAAAUGGAAAAUAUCUAUAUUGAUUAGUGGGUCAUAUACAUAUGGGUUCCCACAAAGCAUGGAGGUUGGCAUUUUUAUAGACUUUUAGGUUCAUUGCUUUGUACAAUGCAUUUAGUUUUGUGUGUGGAUAUGAUUGUCAUUUGUCACUAUGUAUAUGUAUGCAUGUACGAUGUUGACAUUGUGGAGUACUGUGGUUGAUGAUAUGGUGAAUCACAGCUCAUGCAUUGUUGUACUUAUAACCCAAAUCUUUACUUUUUUAAAAAAUGUGAUAUUAUAGACCAAAAACCUGUUCUUACCAAAACAUGUGAAACAAUCCUCUGUUUUAACAUCUUAAUUUAUGAAACUAUGUCAUCGUGGAGUCUGUUUUAGUUUAUUCAUUACGUAAAAGAAGAUAAGAAACAUUCAUUCGUAACAAAAUUUUAUCAUGUUAACAGAAAAGAGGAAAGUGUGUGUACUCGCGACAUAUGUAAUGAUAAAAAAUAUGUAUGUACUCGUUGUCGAUUUCACUUUAAUUACACUGUUGACCUCUUUUUCGAAAAUAUCAGAAUUAUAAAUAAAUAAUAAUAAUAAUCACCGCAACCAUUUAAAGAACUCAUGUGCUAUUGUCCAUCUAUGAUUUGAGAACACUUAAUUUUUUAUUAGAAAAUAUGAAAGAUAUAUACCAUAUAGCUUAGAUAUUUCAAAACAAAGUAUAGUAGUAAUCUCGUAGGCCAUGCUUGCUAAGUUAGCUAAACAUAAACGACAAACCCUUGCUCACUGGUGCAAUAAUCGAAGUGAAGAGCCUCUUUAUAUGAAAUAUAUAAGCGACACAGCCUUAUGGGCAAAUCGAAUGCUAUUUAUUUAUUUGAUAAGAAGAUUAAUAAUUUCAAUUUGUCAUCCACUAGUCUCUUGGGGUACUCAAAACAUAUCACCAAAAAGUCCAUAGAGUUAUUUGUUCUUAUUUACUGAUAAAGUAUUCCAAGUUGAUGUACGAAUAAAGUGGCAAUUUCAUGUAUUAUCAAUAUAAUCCAUUUUUGGGAAUCUGAUAUUUUGUUUAUCCUCGAGCUCUGAGAGAUAUAUUUUGGUGCAGUGAAGGUUCAAAGCUGGCAUGCAUGAUGCAUAUAAUAACUGCUCUGGACCUAAUACUUACUACGCAUUUAAAUUAAUAUUUAUGGAUAAUAUGGUUAAUAAAUAAGGAACUUCUAUUUAUAUCACAAAAGGUCACUGGUCUUCUUCGUGUGACUUCACCACUUUCUCAUCUCCCACAAAAAUGGCUCUCUCACUUCUUUCAGUCUUUAUCUUUUUCCAUGUCUUUACCAAUGUAAGUUAUUCUUACUUUUCAUAACAAAAGGUGUUAUUAUGUUAAAGACUACAUAAUAGUAUACAAUUAUGUGCAUUACGUUUUCGCGUAUUGUAACUAACUAUGUAUUUUGAUUAAUCACCGAGCAGGUUGUUUUUGCUGCUUCAAAUGAGGAAUCCAACGCCUUAGUACGUUUUCUAAUUUCCAGUUUAAUUAUUUCUAUGCGUCUUUAACUAUAUACUCAGGCAUUUUUAUUGAUUAUUGUGUAUGAAGUUAAAUUUUGGUAUAUGUUUGUAUUAAAUUUAUAGGUUUCUUUACCAACGCCAACACUUCCAUCGCCAUCUCCGGCUACCAAACCGCCGUCGCCAGCUCUCAAACCGCCGACGCCGUCGUACAAGCCACCCACGCUGCCAACUACUCCUAUUAAACCACCCACCACAAAACCUCCGGUCAAACCUCCAACUAUUCCGGUUACACCAGUAAAACCUCCGGUUUCAACUCCUCCGAUCAAACUACCGCCGGUACAACCACCUACGUACAAACCCCCAACGCCAACAGUUAAACCACCGUCCGUCCAACCACCUACGUACAAACCCCCAACUCCAACGGUUAAACCACCCACUACAUCACCGGUUAAACCACCCACUACGCCACCAGUUCAAUCACCGCCGGUCCAACCACCUACGUACAAACCCCCAACGUCACCGGUUAAACCACCCACCACAACUCCACCGGUUAAACCCCCCACCACGACGCCACCGGUCCAACCACCUACGUACAAUCCCCCAACUACACCGGUUAAACCACCUACAGCGCCGCCUGUCAAACCUCCAACACCACCUCCCGUAAGAACUCGGAUAGGUAAUAAUAAUUUUCUUUCAAAAGUGUGAUGAUUAUCGGUCGUUGAUUAGAUCGGAUGUAUAAUUGGACUAAAUUUUGGACGGUUUAGAUUGCGUGCCUUUAUGUGGGACGAGGUGUGGGCAACACUCGAGGAAGAACGUAUGUAUGAGAGCGUGCGUCACGUGCUGCUACCGCUGCAAGUGUGUUCCCCCAGGCAC